UUGCUAACGCAGUACAUAUACUGAAAUUGGAACGAUUCAGAGCAGAUAAGCAUGGCCCCUGUGCAGUGAUUAAAUAAUAAUUAUGUGUGUAUAUAUAUAUAAUG